CAAUUGAAAAGGUCGAUUAAUGUGUCAGACACCAAAUGGCCAGAUGAUUGCCACAUAUACAUCAGUCAAGGCCAGAAAUAUUCCGGGGCUAAUGAAAAUUUCGAUGGCUCUGUCCACUCUUACAAGAAUUAUAAGGGUUCCCGCUUUGGUUGGGCUUAUGCGUGUUGUAGACGCCUCUGAGGUUUUGAAGACAACUCGUGUCACAUGUUAGCAUGCAAGAGAGUUUAGCAACUUUUGAAAGCACCUGGAUUGGGUUGCAUCAGUGACAGAUCUCUCUCCCUCUCUGUGGCGAUUAAAAUAGAGCGAAGUAAAAUAUCCUCUCUCAAUCCACUACCCUCCCCCCUGCCCAAAAAAAAAAA